GAUGAACGCUGGCGGCGUGCCUAAUACAUGCAAGUCGAGCGAACGGACGAGAAGCUUGCUUCUCUGAUGUUAGCGGCGGACGGGUGAGUAACACGUGGAUAACCUACCUAUAAGACUGGGAUAACUUCGGGAAACCGGAGCUAAUACCGGAUAAUAUUUUGAACCGCAUGGUUCAAAAGUGAAAGACGGUCUUGCUGUCACUUAUAGAUGGAUCCGCGCUGCAUUAGCUAGUUGGUAAGGUAACGGCUUACCAAGGCAACGAUGCAUAGCCGACCUGAGAGGGUGAUCGGCCACCUGGGAACUGGAACACGGUCCAGACUCCUACGGGAGGCAGCAGUAGGGAAUCUUCCGCAAUGGGCGAAAGCCUGACGGAGCAGCGCCGAGUGAGUGAUGAAGGUCUUCGGAUCGUGAAAAUCUGUUAUUAGGGAAAAACAUAUGUGUAAGUAACUGUGCACAUCUUGACGGUACCUAAUCAGAAAGCCACGGCUAACUACGUG
rnacentral:rRNA from 1 species